UACGUAGGGGGCUAGCGUUGUCCGGAAUCAUUGGGCGUAAAGAGCGUGUAGGCGGCUCGAUAAGUCCGCUGUGAAAGUCCAGGGCUCAACCCUGGGAUGCCGGUGGAUACUGUCGGGCUCGAGUCCGGAAGAGGCGAGUGGAAUUCCUGGUGUAGCGGUGAAAUGCGCAGAUAUCGGGAGGAACACCGGUGGCGAAGGCGGUUCUCUGGGCCUGACCUGACGCUGAGGAGCGAAAGCGUGGGGAGCGAACAGG
rnacentral:rRNA from 1 species